GAUGAACGCUGGCGGCGUGCUUAACACAUGCAAGUCGAACGGAAAGGCUCCUGCUUGCCGGGGUACUCGAGUGGCGAACGGGUGAGUAACACGUGGGUGAUCUGCCCUGCACUUCGGGAUAAGCCUGGGAAACUGGGUCUAAUACCGGAUAGGACCACGUUUUGGAUGGUGUGGUGGAAAGUUUUUCGGUGUGGGAUGAGCUCGCGGCCUAUCAGCUUGUUGGUGGGGUAAUGGCCUACCAAGGCGUCGACGGGUAGCCGGCCUGAGAGGGUGUACGGCCACAUUGGGACUGAGAUACGGGCCAGACUCCUACGGGAGGCAGCAGUGGGGAAUAUUGCACAAUGGGCGCAAGCCUGAUGCAGCGACGCCGCGUGGGGGAUGACGGCCUUCGGGUUGUAAACUCCUUUCGCUAGGGACGAAGCGUUUUUGUGACGGUACCUGGAGAAGAAGCACCGGCUAACUACGUG
rnacentral:rRNA from 1 species